rnacentral:piRNA from 1 species
UGGAAAGGAAAGCGCCUGGCUACCAGA